GACGAACGCUGGCGGCGUGCCUAAUACAUGCAAGUCGAACGAACUCUGGUAUUGAUUGGUGCUUGCAUCAUGAUUUACAUUUGAGUGAGUGGCGAACUGGUGAGUAACACGUGGGAAACCUGCCCAGAAGCGGGGGAUAACACCUGGAAACAGAUGCUAAUACCGCAUAACAACUUGGACCGCAUGGUCCGAGUUUGAAAGAUGGCUUCGGCUAUCACUUUUGGAUGGUCCCGCGGCGUAUUAGCUAGAUGGUGGGGUAACGGCUCACCAUGGCAAUGAUACGUAGCCGACCUGAGAGGGUAAUCGGCCACAUUGGGACUGAGACACGGCCCAAACUCCUACGGGAGGCAGCAGUAGGGAAUCUUCCACAAUGGACGAAAGUCUGAUGGAGCAACGCCGCGUGAGUGAAGAAGGGUUUCGGCUCGUAAAACUCUGUUGUUAAAGAAGAACAUAUCUGAGAGUAACUGUUCAGGUAUUGACGGUAUUUAACCAGAAAGCCACGGCUAACUACGUGCCCGCAGCCGCGGUAAUACGUAGGUGGCAAGCGUUGUCCGGAUUUAUUGGGCGUAAAGCGAGCGCAGGCGGUUUUUUAAGUCUGAUGUGAAAGCCUUCGGCUCAACCGAAGAAGUGCAUCGGAAACUGGGAAACUUGAGUGCAGAAGAGGACAGUGGAACUCCAUGUGUAGCGGUGAAAUGCGUAGAUAUAUGGAAGAACACCAGUGGCGAAGGCGGCUGUCUGGUCUGUAACUGACGCUGAGGCUCGAAAGUAUGGGUAGCAAACAGGAUUAGAUACCCUGGUAGUCCAUACCGUAAACGAUGAAUGCUAAGUGUUGGAGGGUUUCCGCCCUUCAGUGCUGCAGCUAACGCAUUAAGCAUUCCGCCUGGGGAGUACGGCCGCAAGGCUGAAACUCAAAGGAAUUGACGGGGGCCCGCACAAGCGGUGGAGCAUGUGGUUUAAUUCGAAGCUACGCGAAGAACCUUACCAGGUCUUGACAUACUAUGCAAAUCUAAGAGAUUAGACGUUCCCUUCGGGGACAUGGAUACAGGUGGUGCAUGGUUGUCGUCAGCUCGUGUCGUGAGAUGUUGGGUUAAGUCCCGCAACGAGCGCAACCCUUAUUAUCAGUUGCCAGCAUUAAGUUGGGCACUCUGGUGAGACUGCCGGUGACAAACCGGAGGAAGGUGGGGAUGACGUCAAAUCAUCAUGCCCCUUAUGACCUGGGCUACACACGUGCUACAAUGGAUGGUACAACGAGUUGCGAACUCGCGAGAGUAAGCUAAUCUCUUAAAGCCAUUCUCAGUUCGGAUUGUAGGCUGCAACUCGCCUACAUGAAGUCGGAAUCGCUAGUAAUCGCGGAUCAGCAUGCCGCGGUGAAUACGUUCCCGGGCCUUGUACACACCGCCCGUCACACCAUGAGAGUUUGUAACACCCAAAGUCGGUGGGGUAACCUUUUAGGAACCAGCCGCCUAAGGUGGGACAGAUGAUUAGGGUG
rnacentral:rRNA from 1 species